rfam:Verticillium longisporum isolate VL1 genome assembly, contig: scaffold_3
GGAGGAGUGGCCGAGCGGUCUAAGGCGCUAGCUUCAGGUGCUAGUCUACAUUGUAGGCGUGGGUUCGAAUCCCAUCUCCUUCA